AACGCUAGCUACAGGCUUAACACAUGCAAGUCGAGGGGCAUCAGGAAGAAAGCUUGCUUUCUUUGCUGGCGACCGGCGCACGGGUGAGUAACACGUAUCCAACCUGCCCUUUACUCGGGGAUAGCCUUUCGAAAGAAAGAUUAAUACCCGAUAGUAUAAUGAUUCCGCAUGGUUUCAUUAUUAAAGGAUUCCGGUAAAGGAUGGGGAUGCGUUCCAUUAGGUUGUUGGUGAGGUAACGGCCCACCAAGCCUUCGAUGGAUAGGGGUUCUGAGAGGAAGGUCCCCCACAUUGGAACUGAGACACGGUCCAAACUCCUACGGGAGGCAGCAGUGAGGAAUAUUGGUCAAUGGGCGCUAGCCUGAACCAGCCAAGUAGCGUGAAGGAUGAAGGCUCUAUGGGUCGUAAACUUCUUUUAUAUAAGAAUAAAGUGCAGUAUGUAUACUGUUUUGUAUGUAUUAUAUGAAUAAGGAUCGGCCAACUCCGUGCCAGCAGCCGCGGUAAUACGGAGGAUCCGAGCGUUAUCCGGAUUUAUUGGGUUUAAAGGGAGCGUAGGUGGACUGGUAAGUCAGUUGUGAAAGUUUGCGGCUCAACCGUAAAAUUGCAGUUGAUACUGUCAGUCUUGAGUACAGUAGAGGUGGGCGGAAUUCGUGGUGUAGCGGUGAAAUGCUUAGAUAUCACGAAGAACUCCGAUUGCGAAGGCAGCUCACUGGACUGCAACUGACACUGAUGCUCGAAAGUGUGGGUAUCAAACAGGAUUAGAUACCCUGGUAGUCCACACAGUAAACGAUGAAUACUCGCUGUUUGCGAUAUACAGUAAGCGGCCAAGCGAAAGCAUUAAGUAUUCCACCUGGGGAGUACGCCGGCAACGGUGAAACUCAAAGGAAUUGACGGGGGCCCGCACAAGCGGAGGAACAUGUGGUUUAAUUCGAUGAUACGCGAGGAACCUUACCCGGGCUUAAAUUGCAGUGGAAUGAUGUGGAAACAUGUCAGUGAGCAAUCACCGCUGUGAAGGUGCUGCAUGGUUGUCGUCAGCUCGUGCCGUGAGGUGUCGGCUUAAGUGCCAUAACGAGCGCAACCCUUAUCUUCAGUUACUAACAGGUCAUGCUGAGGACUCUGGAGAGACUGCCGUCGUAAGAUGUGAGGAAGGUGGGGAUGACGUCAAAUCAGCACGGCCCUUACGUCCGGGGCUACACACGUGUUACAAUGGGGGGUACAGAAGGCAGCUAGCGGGUGACCGUAUGCUAAUCCCAAAAGCCUCUCUCAGUUCGGAUCGAAGUCCGCAACCCGACUUCGUGAAGCUGGAUUCGCUAGUAAUCGCGCAUCAGCCACGGCGCGGUGAAUACGUUCCCGGGCCUUGUACACACCGCCCGUCAAGCCAUGGGAGCCGGGGGUACCUGAAGUACGUAACCGCAAGGAUCGUCCUAGGGUAAAACUGGUGACUGGGG
rnacentral:rRNA from 1 species